rnacentral:tRNA from 1 species
GGGAAUGUAGCUUAGUGGUAGAGCACUUGCCUAGCAUGCAUGAAGCCCUGGGUUCCAUUCCUCAGUAUACACA